UUAAUUGAAGAGUUUGAUCAUGGCUCAGAUUGAACGCUGGCGGCAGGCCUAACACAUGCAAGUCGAGCGGUAGCACAAGAGAGCUUGCUCUCUGGGUGACGAGCGGCGGACGGGUGAGUAAUGUCUGGGAAACUGCCUGAUGGAGGGGGAUAACUACUGGAAACGGUAGCUAAUACCGCAUGACGUCUUCGGACCAAAGUGGGGGACCUUCGGGCCUCACGCCAUCAGAUGUGCCCAGAUGGGAUUAGCUAGUAGGUGGGGUAAUGGCUCACCUAGGCGACGAUCUCUAGCUGGUCUGAGAGGAUGACCAGCCACACUGGAACUGAGACACGGUCCAGACUCCUACGGGAGGCAGCAGUGGGGAAUAUUGCUCAAUGGGCGCAAGCCUGAUGCAGCCAUGCCGCGUGUAUGAAGAAGGCCUGCGGGUUGUAAAGUACUUUCAGCGAGGAGGA
rnacentral:rRNA from 1 species